rnacentral:lncRNA from 1 species
GGGACAUUGGGGGGGCAUUGGGGACAUUUGGGACAUUGGGGACAUUGGGGGGAUUGGGGACACUGGGGACAUUGGGAACAUUGGGCGGGCAUUGGGGACAUUGGGGACAUUGGGGACAUUGGGGGGUUUGGGGACAUUUUGGGGGCACAGAGGCCACGUCCCCAAUGUCCCCAAUGCUGUCCCCAAUGUCCCCGCUGAUGUCCCCAAUGUCCCCAAUGCUGUCCCCGAUGUCCCUAAUGCUGUCCCCGCUGAUGUCCCCUGAUGUCCCCAAUGUCCCCAAUGUCCCCAAUGCUGUCCCCAAUGUCCCCGAUGAUGUCCCCAAUGUCCCCAAUGUCCCCAAUGAUGUCCCCGAUGAUGUCCCCACUGAUGUCCCCUGAUGUCCCCACUGAUGUCCCCGCUGUCCCCAGGGAGGUGUUCAUGGGCGAGGACCCGGCGCAGCCGCGUCGUUACAAGAAGAAGAAGAAGGAGACGCCGGGGGAGGGGCCCCCGGACUCCCCCACCAACGACCCGACGGUGAAGUACGAGACGCAGCCGCGCUUCAUCACGGCCACGGGGGGCUAUUAGACCAUCAUUAAUGGCUAUUAAAGCCUAUUAAUUUAAGAAUAUGUUACUAAUUACUAAUUAUUAAUUAAUUAUUAAUUAUUAAUAAUUAAUUUAUUAGCCGACGGUGAAGUACGAGACGCAGCCGCGCUUCAUCACGGCCACGGGGGGCUAUUAGACCAUCAUUAAUUAUUAUUAGAGUCCAUUAAUUAACAAAUACGCUAUUAAUUAUUAAUUAAUUAUUAAUUAUUAAUUAUUAAUAAUUAAUUUAUUAGCCGACGGUGAAGUACGAGACGCAGCCGCGCUUCAUCACGGCCACGGGGGGCUAUUAGACCAUCAUUAAUGACUAUUAGAGUCUAUUAAUUAACAAAUAUGCUAUUAAUUACUAAUUAUUAAUUAAUUAUUAAUUAUUAAUAAUUAAUUUAUUAGCCGACGGUGAAGUACGAGACGCAGCCGCGCUUCAUCACGGCCACGGGGGGCUAUUAGACCAUUAUUAAUGGCUAUUAAAGCCUAUUAAUUUAAAAAUAUGUUAUUAAUUUUUAAUUAAUCAUUAACUAUUAAUUAUUAAUAAUUAAUUUAUUAGCCGACGGUGAAGUACAAGACGCAGCCGCGCUUCAUCAUGGCCACGGGGGGCUAUUAGACCAUCAUUAAUUUAUUAUUAGAGUCCAUUAAUUAACAAAUACGCUAUUAAUUAUUAAUUAUUAAUUAACUAUUAAUUAUUAAUAAUUAUUUUAUUAGCCGACGGUGAAGUACGAGACGCAGCCGCGCUUCAUCACGGCCACGGGGGGCACGCUGCACCUGUACCAGCUGGAGGGGCUGAACUGGCUGCGCUUCUCGUGGGCGCAGAGCACCGACACCAUCCUGGCCGACGAGAUGGGGCUGGGCAAGACCAUCCAGACCAUCGUCUUCCUCUACUCCCUCUACAAGGAGGUGGGGCCUGGGGACAUCUCUGAGGGGUUUGGGGACAUCCUCAUGGGGCUUGGGGACAUCUCUGGGACAUCCCUGUGGGGUGAAACCAUCCAGA